rnacentral:rRNA from 1 species
GAUGAACGCUAGCGAUAGGCUUAACACAUGCAAGUCGAGGGGCAGCAUGAUCUUAGCUUGCUAAGAUUGAUGGCGACCGGCGCACGGGUGAGUAACACGUAUGCAACCUACCCACUACAGGGGGAUAGCUCGCUGAAAGGCGAAUUAAUACCGCAUAAUACAGGGAUCUCGCAUGAGAUUAUUUGUUAAAGAAUUUUCGGUAGUGGAUGGGCAUGCGUUCCAUUAGCUAGUUGGUAAGGUAACGGCUUACCAAGGCAACGAUGGAUAGGGGUUCUGAGAGGAAGGUCCCCCACACUGGUACUGAGACACGGACCAGACUCCUACGGGAGGCAGCAGUGAGGAAUAUUGGUCAAUGGGCGAGAGCCUGAACCAGCCAAGUCGCGUGAAGGAUGACUGCCCUAUGGGUUGUAAACUUCUUUUAUAGGGGAAUAAAAAGACUUACGUGUAGGUUAUUGCAUGUACCCUAUGAAUAAGCAUCGGCUAACUCCGUGCCAGCCGCCGCCGUAAUAC